AUACAACUCACGGUAAGUACUGGUUCACACAGUUCGUUCUCGGGGUGCUCACUCUCUUUCUCUUCCUCCACAGGCAACGGCUGGGACGCAAAGGCACAGUUAAUUCGGCUUGGUUUUGCUCUCACCUCUUUGCUGAUUGCAGCUCACAGGAAGUACUGGUUCACACAGUUCGUUCCUUGGGUGCUCACUCGCUUUCUCUUUCUCCACAGGCAGCGGCGUAAGUACAGGUUUCCUCGGUCUCUCCUCGUGUUACCCACUCUCUCUCCUUUUCUCUCCACAGGUAUCAACUUGGGCACAAUAGCACAGUUAGUUUGCUUUGAAUGGCUCUCACCUCUGGGCUGGACACAGCGUACUGUAAGUACAGGUUUCGCUCUAUUUCUCCUCGCGUUAUCCACUCUCUCUCCUUUUCUCUCCACAGGUAUCAACUUGGGCACAAUAGCACAGUUAGUUUGCUUUGAAUGGCUCUCACCUCUGGGCUGGACACAGCGUACUGUAAGUACAGGUUUCGCUCUAUUUCUCCUCGCGUUAUCCACUCUCUCUCCUUUUCUCUCCACAGGUAUCAACUUGGGCACAAUAGCACAGUUAGUUUACUUUGAAUGGCUCUCACCUCUGGGCUGGACACAGCGUACUGUAAGUACAGGUUUCGCUCUAUUUCUCCUCGCGUUAUCCACUCUCUCUCCUUUUCUCUCCACAGGUAUCAACUUGGGCACAAUAGCACAGUUAGUUUGCUUUGAAUGGCUCUCACCUCUGGGCUGGACACAGCGUACUGUAAGUACAGGUUUCGCUCUAUUUCUCCUCGCGUUAUCCACUCUCUCUCCUCCUCUCUACAGGUAUCAACUUGGACACAAAACACAGUUACUCUGCUUUGGAUGGCUUUCACUUCUGGGCUGGACACAACGUACUGUAAGUACAGGGUUCGCUCUAUUCCUCCUCGUGUUAUUCACUCUCUCUCCUUUUCUCUCCACAGGUAUCAACUUGGGCACAAUAGCACAGUUAGUUUGCUUUGAAUGA
rnacentral:lncRNA from 1 species